UCGGUCAGCUGGAGAGCCGCUUCUCCUCGCCGCCGGCCCGGGCCGCCUCGGGCGCAGCGCGGGUUACUCGCGGUCACUCUCCGGCAGUCAGACGAGUCUCUGGGCGUCGGUUACUCAGGGAGCGGAGCGAGAGCGUCCGCGUGCAAUUGGGGUUCACAUUUCCAUCGCUUAGAGGAGCCAAAUCAGAAACAUAACAAGCUCCAAAACGACGCAGAAAGCUUCAGUGCACCGAGGGAGGGUCAGCACUGUUUGACCCUGAGUUUCAUUUUAUGAGCUUGUUCGCUCUCUUCAACGUUUAAUGGGCAGAAAAUCAAGGAGACAACAAUAAACUAUUAAAAAAAAAAAAAAAAUCCCAACAGAAGGAGGGAUGUUCUACAAAAUACCUAACCAGUGCUCCUGAGAACCUGUCACAGCCAAGAAGAGCCCAAGGGGCUCAUGGAUGGGAUCCUGGACAGAAAAAGGACAUUAGGGAAAAACAAAGGAAAUCUGAAUAAGGCUAUUUCAAUUGCAAUAGUCGUAACAGCCUUAAUUCCGUAAGCUGGACAAACCAUGAGCCCAGAUGCACCACACUGCAAUUUCAGCUGUGUAAGAGGAGCCCAGAGAAAAACGAAUGGUUCCUCUUUCCCCAGUCCCACGUCAAAACAAGUUGUGUCUGUGAACUCCCUUGGAAGAAGUCCACAUCUCCAUCUUUAAUAAGGAAAAGUUUAUAAGCAAAGGCAAAGUAUUGUUGGCGAUCUGCUGAAAUAAUUUCUGCGUCUUAAGUCACUAGAUGAAACUUUAGACAAUACUAUAAAUUUAUAUUUUAUAUUUAUCAAACUGUUAGUUUAAACAUCACAGUAUUGAAUAGUUUAUUAAAUGUCUAAUUUUUACAAAGCAAAUAUUAAUAGCAAGAGGCAAAAUGUUUGCAAAAUAUGUACAAAAGUAAAAAGCCUUAAUGAACUUGCAACUCAUUUUAUAAAUUCAAACCAUUCUUUCCACUUUUAGACUCCUUUAGAAAUAAUUUAUUGUCAAACCUGAACUAAAGCACUAACAAGAAAAUAAAAUUACAGUAUCAGAUAAUGUGCUUAGUUCCCAGAAAGUUAUAAAAAGAUACAUGUAUUAAAAAAAUCCUAAGUCACAAAUACUUUUAUACAGAGCUAAUACAAAUCUUGUUUUGUUAGGUACAGUAUCUAUGAGGUUGUUACAAAGUAUACUUUAAUAAGGCUUCUUGUGAUAAAUGAGCUCUCAUCACAUCACAGUUGUAUAGAAGAGCCAUUUAAAACAUUUUGCGAUUCUGCUUUCAAGUAAGAGGUUAAGAAAGGGUAAAUGGCAUAGGAGGUUGCAUUAUUAUGUAUAUUUUCCAAGAAUUAACCCCUACUCACCCACCCUACCUGGCCUUUUUUCCCCUGGUACCAUCAAAUAGGCAUGAUUGAGGACAAAUCCAUCAUUUGACUAUGGCAAGAAAUAAUUAUAAACAAGCUUUCUAAGUACAAACCAAAAUCACAUACCACGUAAGUAGCAUAUUACUAUUAUGAUAUUCAUGGACUGAGAAUGUGUGCAUAGUGAGUCCAGGCAUACUUCCAUCCAUCUGUACUUUAUUUUCAUCGUUAUUGUCAAGAGCAGAUUUGGGUAGGUCACAACAUCUCUAUCAACUCAGAAAAUACUGCCAUUAUCAUUCAUGCUUAAAAACAAUCAAUGUUUCACAUAAGCUCUGUUAUCUGAAACCAGAUGGUUAGACUGGAAUGCCACAAGAGUCAACACAUCUAUUUAAAUGCUACGUUCAAAUACAGACAUAAGAAUGCUGGUGGUACAAACAUGGUGCUUUAAAUGACGUUCAUAAUCACUUACCACCCAAAGGCUAAUAUCUACUUGAUGAUAUGUGAAAAAGCCAUAAAGUCUAACUUGUUUAAAAUGUUCGGGUUUAGACCUAUAUACUUCAGUCUCUUUGUAUAAAGAAGCUCACACCUUGUACCGUGAUACAACGGGUACGUACUAUACCAUGUGCUUUACUUAGAAAGUGGAGGCACAUACACAACCACCCACUUACAAAACAGCCGCUUUCUUCCUCAUGGUUACUAGAUUGAAGCCAAAAUAUAUCCUACAGUUUUAAAAAAAUCAGUAUUUUUACUCAAGCGGCACAACACAUGGACGAUCAUCUGUAACUAACAGAAUUUAGCAGGUUGAACUGAUGGGAAAGAGAGAGUGACCCUGUACUAAGAUUUCCAACUGAAAAAGACAUGUGCAAAAUUUCUGUUCCAGAUUCCUCAAAUAAAACUAAAAGAAAUGAAAAGGUAACAGAGUGACUUUCUCUAGAUUUAUUAGGGAGUUUGUUACAAAUGUUUGGGCUUUACAGGCAUGAUUUCAUGGAUUCAAACAAGAAAUUAAGAGUUAACACUGAUAUUUAACCUUCCCAUUACAUAUACAGAUAUAACAUUGCUACAGAUUGCAAUGGAGAGAAUCUUGUUUCAAAUGGCCUAUUUUGCGGUUUUGUUUAAAUGUAUCCAUUAACUAAUGAAAGCACCAAUUUGAGGGCUUCUUCAAAUAGUGAUUGGAGUUUCAGGACAUAACAGUGCAUAACUUGGUAACUUUAUUCUUCAUUUAAAUAAGGCAUAACCGGAUAUGUGUACUAAUGAUGAAAAUACAUUUUAUCAAAAGCAUAAAUACAAGUAUUUGGGUAUACAUUGAAAGUUAAGAUUUACCCAUCCCCUCUUACAAAAAAUUAUAGGGCUUAUGAUUUCUAUUGAAUCUAAAACAAUACUUACAGUUAUUUCUGGCAUUAAGCAAUUUUACCUCCUUUUAUUUUAAAGCAACCACUGCCCCCUGACUAAACAAGGAUUUCCCUAAGCAGCCCCACUGCAGAGAUGAACCAGCAGACGUUCCCCAUGCAAAGUACAUGCCAAUGUAACUUGUUAAAACAAAUCAAAAAAGAAUGAUCUUUUUCACUCCACCUUGCCUUCUUUGGUUGCAGUUGCUCUCUAUCAAGUGUCCUUUCCAGGCAAUAAAAUUGAAAUGAUUUCAAUUUAAUAAAAUAUUUGGCAAAAAUCAACAAUUUAAGUUAUUUAAAAUAAUAUUUAAGUGGCAGAGGCAUACAACUUGGAUUAUUAUUUAGAACUUCAGAAAACAUUUAACAAAACUCUCUUUAAAAAAUCAAGGCUCAAACUUGUGUUGUUCUUUGAUUUAUAAGGCAACUCUGUAUGAUAUAAAUUUCUUCAAGGUCAGUGAAGACACUUGUGUGAUAUUUCUUGAGAAUAAAACAAGAAGGCAUUCAGGUUUAAGAACAGAAUGUAAUAUAGAAUUAGGCACAUUUUAUUUCAAAACAUAACCAUGAGGACAGAAAAACUGAACAUAUAACAAAGAAUAUUAAAUUUAAAUUACUUUUUUAGAGGUUAGAGGGAAUUGGCAUAAUGAAAAUUACAAGCAUCCUUUCAAUUCUGAUCACUAAAUAUUCUCUCUCUCUUCGUAUAGUGGUAUUUCAGAAGGAUCUGGUUUUCAUGCUACCACUAUAAGACUCCUUCAAAUGGUUUAAAAAUACAGUAUAUUACAAAUGUGAUCUAAAGCCUUUAGAUUGAACCUCACAGCUCUACUGAAUGUUCUACACAAGUCUGCCAUGAAACACAAGGAAUUUACUGCCUCAAAAUAUUUUCUAGAUUUUAAAAGAAUGUCGACUCGGAGACUUCACACAUGCCAGGAAAGAAAAUCACAAAUGCCAAAAAUAAUAUCAUAUCUAUUUGGUGUUUUAACAUUUCUUGGUGGUAGACAACAUGGAGAAACUUGGAGAUUUCUGCUUUGUCAGGCAAUGUUUAUGAUUCACAGCACAGAUAUUAAGUAUAAUUUAAAUAAGACUACGUUUCCUCUUUAUGUAGGGAAUUUAUGUUAGCCUUCAGUAAAAUUAAAUAUUCUGACCAUUCCAUAAAACUAUAUGCUAAAUGUUCACAUAGACUCUUCACCAAAAAAUCCAAUGUUACUGUGCACAUACAUAUCCAGAGGGAGUCACUAGCACUGAGAUUACAUUAACCCUGUGGAUUUAAACAAUGUAUCCUUUUUGGCAAGAAGCACUAGAUGGAAAACUAUUCAAACAUGCAUGAAUUCUCCUGUGCACACCUGUGUUAUGAUGUGGGGCUACACGUUUGUAGCUCAUGUAUUACCAACACAUGAAACACCGGCAGCUAGUAUGCGUAUGACAACGGUAGCACUUCAAAUGCAAGAAAAGUAGGUAUGUUAAGAGCAAUGCCUGGUUGGCUCACUGAGAAGCCCACCUCUUACCCUUGACAGCAGAACAGACCAAGCGCCAAUGUCCUGGAAAGGCUGGGUGAUCCACAAUGUUGACCAAUCUUUGAAGGACUUUCUAACCAAUAAAAUACCUGAGAACACAGUCAGCUAUACAGUAAAGUGACAGAUAUCACAGUCUUAAUCACAAUUUUCAAAUACAGGAGAAAAGCUGUUCAACUUUUCAAACUGUCACCAGCCUUGUAAAUUUGUUUCUCUAAAUCCAAUUCUAGCACUACAUAUAACCUACAUGACAGUAUUUUUUACUACUGCAAACCAGCCAUUCUGGUGAGUUCACUAUGAAUGUAUUUAUAAUCACAAAGCUACUUCAUGGGUGCGUUUUAACUUGGUAAGCAGCGGGAGAAGUCAAAUGUAAUUGUCUUUAAGUGUGAACUAAACAAUUACCAUUUAUCCAUAGAAGUAUCCUUAAAACAUUUAAAAUGUACCUCGAAAAAGCCGGUAUUUCAUAAACAAUAAUUAUACAAAAAUGUACAUACUGUAUCUUUUAGAGAUACACAAGAAUGAGUAAGAAUCUCAAAUAAUGCCUUCUUGAAUAGCUUGACAGAGAAAUACUGCCUUGGCAAGCCCCAAAUAAACAGAAAAUCCCAUAAAUGCCACAGUCUGGAGUUGAUGGAAAUGGACAGGAGAGCAAAAGAAAGAUGGUUGUGAUGGUGCAAUAAUGUUUUCUACAAUAAGGACCAAAAUCAUAUGAGACAGGAUUUAGAAGUGUGACUGGAAAAGGUAUGUUUACUCAGAAAAU